GUGGGGAAUAUUGGACAAUGGGCGAAAGCCUGAUCCAGCAAUGCCGCGUGAGUGAUGAAGGCCUUCGGGUUGUAAAGCUCUUUUACCAGGGAUGAUAAUGACAGUACCUGGAGAAUAAGCUCCGGCUAACUCCGUGCCAGCAGCCGCGGUAAUACGGAGGGAGCUAGCGUUGUUCGGAAUUACUGGGCGUAAAGCGCACGUAGGCGGCGACUCAAGUCAGAGGUGAAAGCCCGGGGCUCAACCCCGGAACUGCCUUUGAAACUAGGUCGCUAGAAUCUUGGAGAGGUCAGUGGAAUUCCGAGUGUAGAGGUGAAAUUCGUAGAUAUUCGGAAGAACACCAGUGGCGAAGGCGACUGACUGGACAAGUAUUGACGCUGAGGUGCGAAAGCGUGGGGAGCAAACAGGAUUAGAAACCCUAGUAGUCC
rnacentral:rRNA from 1 species